rnacentral:tRNA from 1 species
GUAUAGCUCAGUGGUAGACCACAUGCUUAGCAUGCAUGAGGUCCUGGGUUCAAUCCCCAGUAC